UACGUAGGUGGCAAGCGUUGUCCGGAUUUACUGGGCGUAAAGAGCGCGCAGGCGGUUGUGCAAGUCGCGUGUGAAAGCCCCCGGCUCAACUGGGGAGGGUCACGCGAUACUGUUCGACUUGAAGGCAGGAGAGGGAAGUGGAAUUCCCGGUGUAGUGGUGAAAUGCGUAGAGAUGUGGAGGAACACCGAUGGCGAAGGCAGCCCCCUGGGUCAACACUGACGCUCAUGCACGAAAGCGUGGGGAGCAAACAGG
rnacentral:rRNA from 1 species